UUAGUGAAUUAGUUACGUGAAUACAAGUGACUGUUAGUUAGUGAGACAAACAAUCAGUGUAUUAAUCGGAUUAGUACUGUACAAUAUCUAGAUCAGUAGUAGUUAGUAAGAAUAGUGCUUUACAACAUUUAACUACCAAGAGCAGAGGAAGUAAGAAUUGCGAAUGUUGAAAGCCCGAAACUGCCGUAAACUAAAAUAGUGGGACACGCAGACACGGGAGUGACUAGGCUGGUAAACAUUCAGACGCAGACAUAACAGGGGAUAACAAAUGAGAACUGUAAUGGAAAACAAUAACCAAGGAUGUAUGAAAAAUGAAUAAAUAACAAGAAUAAACAUGAAUACAAACAGGACAGAUACAGAAACAUUACACCACCGCUGUGUACGUGACUGUUUUAAUUUCUCUGCAAACACCGAGUCGGAAUCCUGCCAGCCAAACACACUAAGCUGUAUUUGUUGCUUGCAGAACAGCUGAGGGAAAGCUCGGUGAAAUCAGUCAGGUUCAGUUUCGUUUCUCUGUAAAUGCAGCCAGACAGUAGUGUAUAUAAAGGACUGUCAGGACACUGCAACUAGAACCUUCUGUGACCUACAGGGAUUCAGAGGCCGCCAUCUUGGAGAGCCUGAGCCCCAGCUGUCACUCAAACGGAGAGGAGGCAGAGCCUCCGGAGCUCACCGAACAGAUGGGCGGAGACCUCCGCCAGACCACACUCUAUCAGCUCAAGGGUGGUUUAACCAAGAUAUGUAUGACCCAGG